GGGUUGUGAGGUUAAGCGACUAAGCGUACACGGUGGAUGCCCUGGCAGUCAGAGGCGAUGAAGGGCGUGCUAAUCUGCGAUAAGCGCCGGUAAGGUGAUAUGAACCGUUAUAACCGGCGAUACCCGAAUGGGGAAACCCAGUGUGAUUCGUCACACUAUCAUUAACUGAAUCCAUAGGUUAAUGAGGCGAACCGGGGGAACUGAAACAUCUAAGUACCCCGAGGAAAAGAAAUCAACCGAGAUUCCCCCAGUAGCGGCGAGCGAACGGGGAGGAGCCCAGAGCCUGAAUCAGCAUGUGUGUUAGUGGAAGCGUCUGGAAAGGCGCGCGAUACAGGGUGACAGCCCCGUACACAAAAGCGCAUGUGCUGUGAGCUCGAUGAGUAGGGCGGGACACGUGGUAUCCUGUCUGAAUAUGGGGGGACCAUCCUCCAAGGCUAAAUACUCCUGACUGACCGAUAGUGAACCAGUACCGUGAGGGAAAGGCGAAAAGAACCCCGGCGAGGGGAGUGAAAAAGAACCUGAAACCGUGUACGUACAAGCAGUGGGAGCCCCACCACCAAAGCAUUUGCUGUACCGCGUUGACGGAGCGAAGCGACGUCAAACCGAUAAAACAGCAGUNNNNNNNNNNNNNNNNNNNNNNNNNNNNNNNNNNNNNNNNNNNNNNNNNNNNNNNNNNNNNNNNNNNNNNNNNNNNNNNNNNNUGACUGCGUACCUUUUGUAUAAUGGGUCAGCGACUUAUAUUCUGUAGCAAGGUUAACCGAAUAGGGGAGCCGGAGGGAAACCGAGUCUUAAUUGGGCGUUAAGUUGCAGGGUAUAGACCCGAAACCCGGUGAUCUAGCCAUGGGCAGGUUGAAGGUUGGGUAACACUAACUGGAGGACCGAACCGACUAAUGUUGAAAAAUUAGCGGAUGACCUGUGGCUGGGGGUGAAAGGCCAAUCAAACCGGGAGAUAGCUGGUUCUCCCCGAAAGCUAUUUAGGUAGCGCCUCGUGAAUUCAUCUCCGGGGGUAGAGCACUGUUUCGGCUAGGGGGCCAUCCCGGCUUACCAACCCGAUGCAAACUGCGAAUACCGGAGAAUGUUAUCACGGGAGACACACGGCGGGUGCUAACGUCCGUCGUGAAGAGGGAAACAACCCAGACCGCCAGCUAAGGUCCCAAAGUCAUGGUUAAGUGGGAAACGAUGUGGGAAGGCCCAGACAGCCAGGAUGUUGGCUUAGAAGCAGCCAUCAUUUAAAGAAAGCGUAAUAGCUCACUGGUCGAGUCGGCCUGCGCGGAAGAUGUAACGGGGCUAAACCAUGCACCGAAGCUGCGGCAGCGACACUGUGUGUUGUUGGGUAGGGGAGCGUUCUGUAAGCCUGUGAAGGUGUGUCGUGAGGCAUGCUGGAGGUAUCAGAAGUGCGAAUGCUGACAUAAGUAACGAUAAAGCGGGUGAAAAGCCCGCUCGCCGGAAGACCAAGGGUUCCUGUCCAACGUUAAUCGGGGCAGGGUGAGUCGACCCCUAAGGCGAGGCCGAAAGGCGUAGUCGAUGGGAAACGGGUUAAUAUUCCCGUACUUGGUGUUACUGCGAAGGGGGGACGGAGAAGGCUAUGUUGGCCGGGCGACGGUUGUCCCGGUUUAAGCGUGUAGGUGUGUGUUCCAGGUAAAUCCGGUUCACUUUAACACUGAGGCGUGACGACGAGGCACUACGGUGCUGAAGCAACAAAUGCCCUGCUUCCAGGAAAAGCCUCUAAGCAUCAGGUAACAUCAAAUCGUACCCCAAACCGACACAGGUGGUCAGGUAGAGAAUACCAAGGCGCUUGAGAGAACUCGGGUGAAGGAACUAGGCAAAAUGGUGCCGUAACUUCGGGAGAAGGCACGCUGACACGUAGGUGAAGUGAUUUACUCAUGGAGCUGAAGUCAGUCGAAGAUACCAGCUGGCUGCAACUGUUUAUUAAAAACACAGCACUGUGCAAACACGAAAGUGGACGUAUACGGUGUGACGCCUGCCCGGUGCCGGAAGGUUAAUUGAUGGGGUCAGCGCAAGCGAAGCUCCUGAUCGAAGCCCCGGUAAACGGCGGCCGUAACUAUAACGGUCCUAAGGUAGCGAAAUUCCUUGUCGGGUAAGUUCCGACCUGCACGAAUGGCGUAAUGAUGGCCAGGCUGUCUCCACCCGAGACUCAGUGAAAUUGAACUCGCUGUGAAGAUGCAGUGUACCCGCGGCAAGACGGAAAGACCCCGUGAACCUUUACUAUAGCUUGACACUGAACAUUGAGCCUUGAUGUGUAGGAUAGGUGGGAGGCUUUGAAGUGUGGACGCCAGUCUGCAUGGAGCCGACCUUGAAAUACCACCCUUUAAUGUUUGAUGUUCUAACGUGGACCCGUUACCCGGGUUGCGGACAGUGUCUGGUGGGUAGUUUGACUGGGGCGGUCUCCUCCUAAAGAGUAACGGAGGAGCACGAAGGUUGGCUAAUCCUGGUCGGACAUCAGGAGGUUAGUGCAAUGGCAUAAGCCAGCUUGACUGCGAGCGUGACGGCGCGAGCAGGUGCGAAAGCAGGUCAUAGUGAUCCGGUGGUUCUGAAUGGAAGGGCCAUCGCUCAACGGAUAAAAGGUACUCCGGGGAUAACAGGCUGAUACCGCCCAAGAGUUCAUAUCGACGGCGGUGUUUGGCACCUCGAUGUCGGCUCAUCACAUCCUGGGGCUGAAGUAGGUCCCAAGGGUAUGGCUGUUCGCCAUUUAAAGUGGUACGCGAGCUGGGUUUAGAACGUCGUGAGACAGUUCGGUCCCUAUCUGCCGUGGGCGCUGGAGAACUGAGGGGGGCUGCUCCUAGUACGAGAGGACCGGAGUGGACGCAUCACUGGUGUUCGGGUUGUCAUGCCAAUGGCACUGCCCGGUAGCUAAAUGCGGAAGAGAUAAGUGCUGAAAGCAUCUAAGCACGAAACUUGCCCCGAGAUGAGUUCUCCCUGAGACUUAGAGUCUCCUGAAGGAACGUUGAAGACGACGACGUUGAUAGGCCGGGUGUGUAAGCGCAGCGAUGCGUUGAGCUAACCGGUACUAAUGAACCGUGAGGCUUAACCUUACAACGCCGAAG
rnacentral:rRNA from 1 species